rnacentral:rRNA from 2 species
GGGGUGCUAUACAUGCAGUCGAGCGAACAGAUGAGAAGCUUGCUUCUCUGAUGUUAGCGGCGGACGGGUGAGUAACACGUGGGUAACCUACCUAUAAGACUGGGAUAACUCCGGGAAACCGGGGCUAAUACCGGAUAAUAUUUUGAACCGCAUGGUUCAAUAGUGAAAGACGGUUUCGGCUGUCACUUAUAGAUGGACCCGCGCCGUAUUAGCUAGUUGGUAAGGUAAUGGCUUACCAAGGCGACGAUACGUAGCCGACCUGAGAGGGUGAUCGGCCACACUGGAACUGAGACACGGUCCAGACUCCUACGGGAGGCAGCAGUAGGGAAUCUUCCGCAAUGGGCGAAAGCCUGACGGAGCAACGCCGCGUGAGUGAUGAAGGUCUUCGGAUCGUAAAACUCUGUUGUUAGGGAAGAACAAAUUUGUUAGUAACUGAACAAGUCUUGACGGUACCUAACCAGAAAGCCACGGCUAACUACGUGCCAGCAGCCGCGGUAAUACGUAGGUGGCAAGCGUUAUCCGGAAUUAUUGGGCGUAAAGCGCGCGUAGGCGGUUUCUUAAGUCUGAUGUGAAAGCCCACGGCUCAACCGUGGAGGGUCAUUGGAAACUGGGAAACUUGAGUGCAGAAGAGGAGAGUGGAAUUCCAUGUGUAGCGGUGAAAUGCGCAGAGAUAUGGAGGAACACCAGUGGCGAAGGCGGCUCUCUGGUCUGUAACUGACGCUGAUGUGCGAAAGCGUGGGGAUCAAACAGGAUUAGAUACCCUGGUAGUCCACGCCGUAAACGAUGAGUGCUAAGUGUUAGGGGGUUUCCGCCCCUUAGUGCUGCAGCUAACGCAUUAAGCACUCCGCCUGGGGAGUACGACCGCAAGGUUGAAACUCAAAGGAAUUGACGGGGACCCGCACAAGCGGUGGAGCAUGUGGUUUAAUUCGAAGCAACGCGAAGAACCUUACCAAAUCUUGACAUCCUUUGACCGCUCUAGAGAUAGAGUCUUCCCCUUCGGGGGACAAAGUGACAGGUGGUGCAUGGUUGUCGUCAGCUCGUGUCGUGAGAUGUUGGGUUAAGUCCCGCAACGAGCGCAACCCUUAAGCUUAGUUGCCAUCAUUAAGUUGGGCACUCUAGGUUGACUGCCGGUGACAAACCGGAGGAAGGUGGGGAUGACGUCAAAUCAUCAUGCCCCUUAUGAUUUGGGCUACACACGUGCUACAAUGGAUAAUACAAAGGGCAGCGAAUCCGCGAGGCCAAGCAAAUCCCAUAAAAUUAUUCUCAGUUCGGAUUGUAGUCUGCAACUCGACUACAUGAAGCUGGAAUCGCUAGUAAUCGUAGAUCAGCAUGCUACGGUGAAUACGUUCCCGGGUCUUGUACACACCGCCCGUCACACCACGAGAGUUUGUAACACCCGAAGCCGGUGGAGUAACCUUUUAGGAGCUAGCCUUCGAUCAUUAACAAA